GAGGGAGCGGGCGAACAACAGAGAGUGAGAGUGAGAGUGAGAGAGAGAGAGAGGGAGAGAGAAAAAAAUUUAUAAUAAUAACACUGCAGUUUGUUUUAGUAAAUAAAAUAAUAUAAGGUUUUAGUUAUUUUACAUAACAGUUAUAGUGUUCACUCGUUAUUGAAGCUAUUCUGCUACGCCUAACAAAUGCCUUGUACCCAGAGAGCUUUGGGAUUGAAUUCUAGGGCUCUUUGCUGUUUUAACACUGACAACUGUAACUAUGUUAGCCACAGAUGAGUUAACCAACAAGUUCACCUCUACCAAAAGAGCUACUAUACUGUAAAAAGCUGUUAUGAUUAACCAAUUCAGUGUAUCCAGGGAGCUUCGGCAUUCCACUCUGCACUUCUUUGCUGUGUUCUUAUCAUUAGCAAUCCUGUACUACAAGUCUACAAUGUUAAAAAAAACAUUCAGGCCAUACAAGACCUAUUAUUCUAUAAGUUCUCAACAACGAAUGAUAAAAGAAAAUAACUGUUAAUAAGUGUUAUGAAUUGAUAAUAACUGUUGAUAACAUUUAUUAACUCAAUUAAAUUGAUAAUAACAAUUAUAUGUGUCUAAAAUCUGACGUUUAUAAACUAUUAUAAACUGUAAAUAACUGAUUAUAAAAGUUAUUUUAUGCUCAUAUUUGUUCACUGCAAUUAUAUGCAUAAAUUUAUUUCCAACAGGGAACUAAUAGUGGUAUGUAUUUAUAUAUUAUUGAUAGUAAAAAAUUAAAUAAACUUAUCAUAUAUGCAAUAACUUUCAUGUUCCAUUGUAAAGAUCAUUAUGCUUAGAAAAUUUUUUAUGUAUAUAGGCGGUAAAAUUGUAUGGGCAAAACACAGUGAAUUUCAAUAGGUCAAUUUGAAAAUACUCGAAGAAGAAGCUCAGGAAUGUGAGAAGUUGCUAUUAACUGUCAAAGACAUGAGUGCUUGUGAAAUCUAUCCACAAACAAUUCAUCACAAUCCUAAAGGAAGAUUCGUUGUAGUUUGUGAUUUUAAUUUAUUAUUUAUACAUUUAUAGGCUUGAGAAGCAAGGCUUUUGGACAGGCUUUUGAAGUUGUCUGGGCUGCAGAUUCGAGUCAGUAUGCUGUCAGAGUUUAUCAUGCCGAUAUUAAACUGAACCAAUAUCUGAAGGAGGCUAUUAUUGUUUUCUGAAUAUGGACCAAUAAAUUAGAAUCUUUCACAUCUAAUUUUGUAUUAAAUUCAUACACAUGUAUUGGAUCAUUUACAAAAGCAGCUGCAUAUAAUAGAGUACAAGGGAGAAUGUUAAUUUGCUAUUCUCACAAGAAAAAAUAUGCAAUUUAAGGUCAUACAGAAUUAAAAAAUGUAAAAGACCAUUGCUUUUUAUUAUGGUAUUUAUAUGGUAUUUGGUUUGGAUAGUACAGAAGCUUGCAAACUAAAUGAAUUUUUCAUAGCUAAUUGUAUACAAUGGCGUUAAGACUGUAUCAGUUCACGAUGAAAUGAAAAUACUCACAUUAAUGGUGGUACAUAUAAUGUGAUAAUAUUGUAUGGUUUGAAUUAAGAAUUAAUCGCUGUAAUUUAUAUUUCUGGUUUGGAACUGAAGAAUGAAUUGAAAAAAUAUUUACCAGGAAUGAUUCUGUACUGAGGAAAUUUUGACUUCAAAAACCCAUUUAAUUGAAGAUUUUCUGUACUCAUGGAUAAUAUCAAAAAUUCAUGCAGCUGCUAGAUAUAUUACAGAACAAAUAUAUGCUGACGAACCAUUUUUAAUAUCCACUAGUGUAAAGGACUAUGAAGUUUCAACUUUGAGAACUAUUGUCAAUGCUAUUCAAAAGCUGGAUCUCAAGAGUCCAUAAAAUGAGCAUUAUAUUUGGUUAGUUAGAAAUAGGCCCACCUGGCAGUGGCAAAACAACAUACUACACUGAAAUGGGAAAAUUUCUUGAGAGUUUGGGUAGAAAAGUAGCAAUCAUAAAUAUUGAUCCAGCCAAUGAAAAUAUGGGCCAAGAAUUGCCCAGCAGUAGAUGUUUCUGAAUUAGUUAUACAUCAAGAAGUUAUGAAAACUUAAAAAUUUGGACUUAAUGGGGCUUUUGUAUAUUGUAUUGAGUUUUUAGAGAAAAAUAUUGAAUGGUUGAUUAGAAAAGUUCUUAAUUUCAAAAACCACUACCUUUUGAUUGAUUGCCCAGGACAGGUUGAACUAUAUAUUCAUCAUGAAUCUAUGAACAAAAUUACUGAGAAAUUGUCUACAAAUUUAGUUAGACUUUGCUGUGUUAAUUUAAUGGAUUCACAUCAUUGUAGUCAUCCAGAAAGUAUCUUUCUUCAUUGAUGGUUUGUACGAUAUUCAUGGAUAAUUUGAUAACGAAGUCAGAUGAGAAAUAUAAAUUAUUAAUCUGCUUUGAUGAAACUAAAAAAUAUCUUCAUUUUGAACAAGUUGAUAUAUUUUGAAAAUAUUUAAAGUAGAACUACCAGAAGAUUGGAAUGUUAUAGCUGAUGUAAGACUUCAAUGCUUUAAAUAAGUGAUGCAUCCACAGGUUGGGCUUAGAAUGACAUGAUUAUCAAUGGUGUUGUAUCCGAAUAAUUAAAACCGAUUU